rnacentral:rRNA from 1 species
UACGUAGGUGGCAAGCGUUGUCCGGAUUUACUGGGCGUAAAGAGCGCGCAGGCGGUCGUUCAAGUCGCGUGUGAAAGCCCCCGGCUCAACUGGGGAGGGUCACGCGAUACUGAUCGACUCGAAGGCAGGAGAGGGAAGUGGAAUUCCCGGUGUAGCGGUGAAAUGCGCAGAUAUCGGGAGGAACACCAAUGGCGAAGGCAGCUCGCUGGGACGGUACUGACGCUGAGGCGCGAAAGCUAGGGGAGCAAACGGGG